rnacentral:rRNA from 1 species
AUUGAACGCUGGCGGCAUGCCUUACACAUGCAAGUCGAACGGCAGCACGGGUGUUUGCACCUGGUGGCGAGUGGCGAACGGGUGAGUAAUACAUCGGAACGUACCUUAUCGUGGGGGAUAACGCAGCGAAAGCUGUGCUAAUACCGCAUACGCCCUGAGGGGGAAAGCGGGGGAUCGCAAGACCUCGCGCGAUUAGAGCGGCCGAUGACUGAUUAGCUAGUUGGUGGGGUAAAAGCACACCAAGGCGACGAUCAGUAGCUGGUCUGAGAGGACGCUCAGCCACAGUGGGACUGAGACACGGCCCAGACUCCUACGGGAGGCAGCAGUGGGGAAUUUUGGACAGUGGGGGCAACCCUGAUCCAGCAGUGCCGCGUGAGUGAAGAAGGCCUUCGGGUUGUAAAGCUCUUUUGUCAGGGAAGAAACACCGGCUCUAACACGGUCCGGGAAUGACGGUACCUGAAGAAUAAGCACCGGCUAACUACGUGCCAGCCGCCGCAGUAA